GCGUUAUAUAAAACAGAAGGUUAACACUCACUUCACUGAGGGUGGAAAAGAGGUUAGUAACCUUUAUCACACAUACUGCGGUUAAGGGUUGCCGCCAACUCUGUGGCAUCUAACCAGGUUUUCUU